rnacentral:rRNA from 1 species
UGGGGAAUAUUGCACAAUGGGCGCAAGCCUGAUGCAGCCAUGCCGCGUGUAUGAAGAAGGCCUUCGGGUUGUAAAGUACUUUCAGUCGGGAGGAAGGUGGUAAGGUUAAUAACCUUAUCAAUUGACGUUACCGACAGAAGAAGCACCGGCUAACUACGUGCCAGCAGCCGCGGUAAUACGUAGGUGGCAAGCGUUGUCCGGAUUUAUUGGGCGUAAAGCGAGCGCAGGCGGUUUCUUAAGUCUGAUGUGAAAGCCCCCGGCUCAACCGGGGAGGGUCAUUGGAAACUGGGAGACUUGAGUGCAGAAGAGGAGAGUGGAAUUCCAUGUGUAGCGGUGAAAUGCGUAGAUAUAUGGAGGAACACCAGUGGCGAAGGCGGCUCUCUGGUCUGUAACUGACGCUCAGGUGCGAAAGCGUGGGGAGCAAACAGG